CUUAAACUUUGUAACAGCUGCAUCAGCCACCAUUUCAAUCUCCAUUGGAGACUUAUUUUGCUGCUGAAUUUGUUGAGAUUGAGACUGUGAUAAUAAUCUGAUGAGUUUCUCAACACUCUCAAGACCAGAAGCAGCUUCUUGCACAACUGAUUUUUCUUCUAAUUUCGCAACGAAGUUAAUACAAUUAGUAUUAUUGUUAUUUCUAGUGCUUCUGUAAUCCAUCAUUAGCUCCACAGCCAUAUUAUAGUAACUAAUUUAGACAAAUGAG
rnacentral:misc_RNA from 1 species